rfam:Schistosoma haematobium scaffold839_21, whole genome shotgun sequence.
UAAAUCUCUUACGUACUCGGUGUUUCAAAACCCAAAGGCGAAGUGAUGGCAAAGGUUCGACUUGUCCGGAAUGAGGUGAGAUCCUGUUGUCUUGCUCAUACUUUCCAAGUUCCGAGCGGCAGGCGUAUUACCGGCCAAUCUCAUAACAUAUUCAUGUGAUAUCGUGUUGUGUGCACCGUCGGGGCGGAGUAAGAGCGUAUACAUUGAGACCCAAAAGAUGGUGAGCCAUGCUUGCGAAGGUUGAAGCCAGAGGUAACUCUAGUGGAGGGCCGUAGUGAUUCUCACGUGCAAAUAAAUCGUAUAACGUGAGUAUGUUGGCGAAAGACUAAUCGAACCCGUCAGUGGUUGA